GUCACACUAAUGAUUAAAAAUCCUAAAAAACAUAUAUUAAGAUAUGAUCAAUCAAAACUAAUAUAUGACUUCAAAACAUAUACUAAAUAACACAUGAUCAAUCAAACUAAUGAUUAAAAGCCCUAAAACAUAAUCAAGAACUAAGAACUAAUAAUUAAAAAAAAAAAAAACAAUAUACAAACAAAUGGAAUUAUGUGUUUAUAAAACAAGAAAAAAUCGAAACAAAG
rnacentral:lncRNA from 1 species